ACCAUGCGCGGUGGCGCGUGCCUGUAGUCCCAGCUACUUGGGAGGCUGAGGGGGGAGGAUCGCUUGAGCCCAGGAGUGGCUCUAGUGCGCUAUGCCGAUCGGGUGUCCACACUAAGUUCGGCAUCAAUAUGGUGACCUCCCGGGAGCGGGGGACCACAAGGUUGCCUAAGGAGGGGUGAACUGGCCCAGGUCGGAAAUGGAGCAGGUCAAAACUCCCAUGCUGAUCAGUAGUGGGAUCACGCCUGUGAAUAGCCACUGCACUCCAGCCUGGGCAACAUGGUGAGACCCUGUCUCU
rnacentral:SRP_RNA from 1 species